AUACGUAGGGGGCGAGCGUUGUCCGGAAUGAUUGGGCGUAAAGGGCGCGUAGGCGGCGCGGUAAGUCUGGAGUGAAAGUCCUGCUUUCAAGGUGGGAAUUGCUUUGGAUACUGCCGCGCUUGAGUGCAGGAGAGGUUAUCGGAAUUCCCGGUGUACCGGUGAAAUGCGUAGAGAUCGGGAGGAACAUCAGUGGCGAAGGCGGGUAACUGGACUGCAACUGACGCUGAGGCGCGAAAGUGUGGGGAGCAAACAGGAUUAGAUACCCUGGUAGUCCACGCUGUAAACGAUGAUUACUAGGUGUGGGGGGACUGACCCCUUCCGUGCCGCAGUUAACACAAUAAGUAAUCCACCUGGGGAGUACGGCCGCAAGGUUGAAACUCAAAUGAAUUGACGGGG
rnacentral:rRNA from 1 species